rnacentral:rRNA from 1 species
GGCGAUCAGAUACCGCCCUAGUUCUGACCGUAAACUAUGCCAACUAGCGAUCUGCCGGUGGAUUUUUAGCCCUGGUAGGAAGCUUCCCGGAAACGAAAGUCUUCCGGUUCCGGGGGAAGUAUGGUUGCAAAGCUGAAACUUAAAGGAAUUGACGGAAGGGCACCACCAGGAGUGGAGCCUGCGGCUUAAUUUGACUCAACACGGGGAAACUCACCCGGCCCGGACACCGUAAGGAUUGACAGAUUGAUAGCUCUUUCAUGAUUCGGUGGUUGGUGGUGCAUGGCCGUUCUUAGUUCGUGGAUCGAUUUGUCUGGUUUAUUCCGAUAACGAGCGAGACUCUAGCCUACUAAAUAGUAACGGAAUUACUUUUGUUCCAGUUGCUUCUUAGAGGGAUUUUCGGUGUUUAGCCGCACGAGAUUGAGCAAUAACAGGUCUGUGAUGCCCUUAGAUGUCCGGGGCUGCACGCGCGCUACACUGGCGAAAUCAGCGUGCUGUAUCCAUUCUCGAAAGGGAUUGGUAAACCCAUGAAAAUUUGCCGUGCUUGGGAUCGGAAAUUGCAAUUAUUUUCCGUGAACGAGGAAUUCCAAGUAAGUGCGAGUCAUCAACUCGCUCUGAUUACGUCCCUGCCCUUUGUA